rnacentral:rRNA from 1 species
UCUGGGAGUCAUACCACCCUGCACGCGCGCGAUCUUGUCUGAUCUCGGAAGCUGAGCAGGCUCGGGCCCGGUUAGUACUUAGAUGGGAGAACGGUCUGAGAGCAAAGACAGCACCCUGGG